rnacentral:rRNA from 1 species
UACGUAGGGCGCAAGCGUUGUCCGGAAUUAUUGGGCGUAAAGAGCUCGUAGGCGGCCUGUUGCGUCCGCUGUGAAAUCCCGGGGCUCAACCCCGGGCCUGCAGUGGAUACGGGCUGGCUAGAGGCAGGCAGGGGAGAACGGAAUUCCGUGGUGUAGCGGUGAAAUGCGCAGAUAUCAGGAGGAACACCGGUGGCGAAGGCGGUUCUCUGGGCCUGUACUGACGCUGAGGAGCGAAAGCGUGGGGAGCGAACAGG